CCUACGGGUGGCAGCAGUGAGGAAUAUUGGUCAAUGGGCGCGAGCCUGAACCAGCCAAGUCGCGUGAAGGAUGACUGCUCUAUGGGUUGUAAACCUCUUUUAUAAAGGAAUAAAGUGCGGCACGCGUGCCUCUUCGCAUGUACUUUAUGAAUAAGGAUCGGCUAACUCCGUGCCAGCAGCCGCGGUAAUACGGAGGAUCCGAGCGUUAUCCGGAUUUAUUGGGUUUAAAGGGAGCGUAGAUGGGUUGUUAAGUCAGUUGUGAAAGUUUGCGGCUCAACCGUAAAAUUGCAGUUGAUACUGGCGGUCUUGAGUAUAGUUGAGGUAGGCGGAAUGCGGGGUGUAGCGGUGAAAUGCAUAGAUAUCACGAAGAACUCCGAUUGCGAAGGCAGCUUACUAAGCUGCCACUGACAUUGAUGCUCGAAAGUGUGGGGAUCAAACAGGAUUAGAUACCCGUGUAGUC
rnacentral:rRNA from 1 species